UACAGAGGUCCCAAGCGUUAAUCGGAAUUACUGGGCGUAAAGCGUGCGCAGGCGGUGAUGUAAGACAGAUGUGAAAUCCCCGGGCUUAACCUGGGAACUGCAUUUGUGACUGCAUCGCUGGAGUGCGGCAGAGGGGGAUGGAAUUCCGCGUGUAGCAGUGAAAUGCGUAGAUAUGCGGAGGAACACCGAUGGCGAAGGCAAUCCCCUGGGCCUGCACUGACGCUCAUGCACGAAAGCGUGGGGAGCAAACAGG
rnacentral:rRNA from 1 species